UUCAGUGACAGCAGAGGAGUUGUGGAAAGGUGUGUUGGCAGAAACAGGUUCAGGAGCCAGGAAGGGUCGAGGGAAAAGGACCAAACGUAAACUGAAGAGAGACCUGAACCGAGGACAGACCGUCGGAGAAGGUCGUGGUGGUUUUCUGUGGCCCGGUCUGAACUCUCCGGUGAUGAAGGACGGGAAUCAGCUGAGCAUGAGUCGAAGAGGAGAGAGUGAGCAGCAGGAGAUGCAAGCUGAUAUAGUUCGUCAGAGGGAUGAGUGGGAGAAAAGGUGGAAGACAAAGGUGAAGAGGGAGAGAGGAUGGACCGGACACUCCUGGGGGGGCAUCAGCAUCGGAGCCCCGGACCCUGGACCCAACGGAGGUA